CACCGGGCGCCGUCCCCGCCCCUCGGCCCCCGCCCCUCCGGCUCUCGGUGCCCCGGGCUCUAAGCUCCAGGGGGGUGGUGUUGGCGCUAAUUCAUCCUUUCCUCUCCGUUUGCGGCAUGCAUUGUUCAUUUUACACCUAGCACGGGCUUGUCCGUUUCUUUUCCCCAUGAAAGAAGUUUUCGUUCCAAGAAAUUUACACUGAAAGGAAAUUCCUGGAGAGGAAUCUGAUGUCAGCAGAGGAAGCUUUUAGAUUUUCUUCCUUUCGGUGAGAGUGGAGGGUGAGGCGGAACGACUGGGAAUUUUUCAGUUAUCCUAGGGGUGACCUAGGAGACAGGACCACCUCCCUCCCCUCCUACCGCUCAGGCAGGGGCUUGCUGAGCACCGGGAGUAAGCCCUCCGGUUGGCUGGGCUUCCUGAAAACCCUGAGCCACCCGGUUCAGGAGAAAGGACUCAGGGGGGUGCCUGAGCCUCUCGUUCCUUUUCCUUGCCACGCAUGCUCACCUUGCCAGCCUGGGUGGAGCUGGCCAGGUGUGCCUGAAGGAGGUGAGGGACGCCAGGAGUUCUCUGAGAGAGAGUCGUCUCACCAUGAGAUUUGGCGGCAAGGAAUUAAGUGUGAAAUGGGGCCCUCUCUGCUGUUGGCUGAUGAGGUCUUUGGGACCUCUGUUGGCAUGAAGGAUAGCAUCUCUGGGAUGGAGAGAGAAACCUGGCUCAGGUCACCAGGAAGCUGGAAGGUGUGUGUGGGAGGGUUGGCUUUGAACUCACUCCCACUCCUGCCCCAGUCCACCUUCUGCAGCUAGAAGGAGCAGGAGGCAAGGGACCAGGAGUGGGGCCUCAGGCCUGGACACAUCCUUAGACAGGAGAAAGGCCUUGGGCAACUCGCAUGACCCAGGGAUGAUAAUACGCGGGGGUGGGGGUGGGGUGGGGGGGGGGGGUGGAGAUUGGGGCCAGAGGUAGGGGUCAUGGGCCUCUCUGAGUAUCUGGUGAAAGCUCUAACUCCCCUCUCCCUCCCUCUGGCACAGGCAGGUGUGCAGCGUCAGAGGGUCACUGUGCCCCUUGCAACUGGGACCCCUGUUAAGAUCUCAAAUCUGUGGUUCAGCCUAGGUGGUUCAGAACAGUUCCCUCUUUUGUGUUGAGUCAGUGAAUAGUUCCAGGGUGUGAAGAGCAGAUCUCUCAAGAGGGCUUUUCUCAUGACCUUCUGAUGCAACUUUGGGCUUGUGGCCAUGGAGACCUGGAAACUCUGAACUGGAUCCCAACUCCUGACAGUGAGCCAGAGAAUGGGGGCCAGUGGGGUGGCCGUUCUCCAGGGGCUGAUUUUGUUGCUUUUGUGGUGAGAAGGCUCUGGGUGCUAACUAGGCCAACGCCACAGAACUGCUGAAUUAGAGGUAAAUAUAGGGAUUAGGGGCUUCCUUGGUGGCUCAACUGGUAAAGAAUCUGCCUGCAAUGUGGGAGACCUGAGUUUGAUCCCUGGGCUGGGAAGAUCCCUUAGAGAAGGGAUCAGCAACCCCCUCCAGGAUUCUGGCCUGGAGAAUUCCAUGGACUAUAUAGUCCAUGGGAUUGCAAAAAGUUGGACACAACUGAGCAAUUUUCACUCUGAGUUCCCUGGUGGCUCAGAUGGUAAAGAGUCUGCCUGCAAUGCAGGAGAUCUGGGUUUGAUCCCUGGGUCGGGAAGAUCCCUUGGAGGAGGAAAUGGCAACCCACUCCAGUACUCUUGCUUGGAGAAUCCCCUGGACGGAGAAGCCUGGCAGGCUACAGUCCAUGCAAUCACAGAGUCAGACACAACUGAGCGACUAAGCACAGCACAAAGGGAUUAGGGUGAGGGAUGCUGUCCCAAUAAAAUAGGAGUCAGACGCUGUAAGAGGCCCAUCUCAUUCUUGGGGGAGCAGGGUUGAAGUGGUGGAAUGUGCUUCAGUGGAGAGUGUAAGUGUGAAAGACACUUCUUCUUUUUUUUUUUUUUUUUUCACUUUUUGGUUGAGUAGCUCAGCACAUGGGAUCCUAGUUCCCUGACCAGGAUCCACCCCACGCCCCAUGGUGUCUUAACCAUUGGACCGCCAGGGAAGGCCCAGGACACUCCUCCUUUUGAGGAGGUCUUUGUGCAGAGUUGUUCAAGGCCAGGAUUGAGGUAUUGUAGGUUCCUUGUUGUUCAGUCACUAAGUCAGGUCCAACUCUGAGACCCCAUGGACUGCAGCACGCCAGGCUUCCCUGUCCUUCGCUAUCUCCCAGAGUUUGCUCAAACUCACGUCAGGUUCCUUAGAUGCUUAUGGACGAGGGAAGGGGGAGCAAGCCAGAAGGAAUGGCUGUCACCAUCCCCAGUGUGUCCGCAAGGAGACCAGGCCUGCCUUUUCUUUCUUAACCAGAGCUCUCUGGGUCCUGGGCUGCUGCCCAAGCCUUGGUGGCAUCACCCUUGUUGGGGAUCUGGAAGAGCCUUUAGCAGGGUCUGCCAUCUGUGGCUUCUCUGCUUGGUAUUGAGAAGCCUUUCUUAGGUACCAGUGGACCCAGACAAUGGUAGUUCAUGGAGGUUUGUCUUUGACUAACAGACACAGUGUUGAGCAGAUAGAAGCACUUAGACUUGUUUCUUCCUUCAGGGUUUCCUAUCUGUACUUUGCCUUGAUAGAUUUCCCCUGAUCUGGCAAUGAGCAGGAUAGGCCAGAGUGUUCUAGAGCCUUGGGAGCAAGAAUCCGCUUCGACUAUGCAAGGUGCCCUGGAAGGAGGUGAAGCCUCUGUUUGUUUUGGCUUUUAUGCUUUCAGGAAGUGAGAACCUUAAUAGACCUGGGGGUGCUCUGGUCGAGCGGGGGGUCCCUAACUUGGGACUUGACAGUUAUUUUGUGGGCGGGCUGUAAGGGUCCUGCGGCGGUGACGAGAGGUUCCAGGACCAGUCUGCCUGCCGCCACCGCGGCCGCCACGGGUUGGCGAGGAUGCUGGUUGUGCUGGCUCGCUCAGUUCCCUGAUGGCCUCUGCUUUCAGCCUCCCAGUAGGCCUCUCUGAUGUGUCUAACAAUGUAAUAGAUUCCGAAUAAUCCAGCUAUUGCUCUCUUCUUUAAAACAGGUCAUAAAUGACAGAUACAGUAACAAUGCCUGUCCACACAAACUCCCUUUUCAUAAACUGUGAAAUGCACUGAGGAGUGACUGGUGGGAUAAAAAGGCUCCAAAUCCCUCUAACUGCCACCCCUAGGAGAUAUCUGCCACUCCGUGUCCAUUUCUAGAAUGGCUUUGGGGUUUAGCGUGUAGCAUCUGAAGUUACAUACAUUCUCCCCGUUGCACUCCCAGCUCUCCAUCUUACUCUAUGACUUUGUAGGUCCUUCAGUUUCUCAGCUUUGGAAACAAGUGAAAGGAGAUAAUAUGCCAGACAAAGAGCAAGUCUUCUUUUAGAGUGGAAACUAUUAUUAUCAUUCUUCUUUCUUAUUUCUGCACUUGGGCGCUAACGUUCCGAGGCAUCUUAUGAUUAAAUAAGAUCUUUGGUAAAAACUGUAGAGGCUGAGGCUGGCUUUUGGAGAUGUGGGAUGGAGUGGGGUGAGGCUUAAAUUUUGAGCAGAGGGGAACACACAGUGGGGAGAUGAGCCUGAAGUGUCAAGGGUGAUGACAGAGAAGUAUCACUGGGGGCAGAAUGACUCAGCACUCAUAACCCUGCUGUGGAACUAACUCUCCUCCCUUUUCUUUGGAAAAUUUCCCUUCUAAACUGGUGACGGUGGGGUGAGGGGGUGAGGAUCAUAAUCAGUAAAGAGGGUUGGCUGGCUUUUUAGAUUACUGUUAACAAUUGAUUCUGAAGGAAGGGGGCCUAGUGUGGGGGUGGGUAGGCUCAAUGACAGCCCAGAGUAGAGGCAGGUCGGGGUUUCUAUGAAGCCUUAGGCUUGGGACGUCAUAAUUCCAGCCUCGCUCAACACUCACUGUGGGUCAGACCCUUUUCCAAGUGCUUCUCAUGCAUCAGUUCAUUUAAUCCUCACAAGAUCCUGUGAAAGGUUAAAUCUAUGUUUCAGUGAAGAAACGGAGACAGACGGAGGUUAAGUACCACGUCCAAGAUUGCAUGGUUGGAGAGUAGCAGAGCCAGGAUUUGAACCCAAAAGGCUUGGUUACAGAGCUCACAUCUUUCGAGAAAGUCUGAGCGAGACCCCUACUGAGCUGGGGGCUGAGAGGCGGGGAUGGUGCGGUGGUGGGGCUGGAGGAGUGACGGGCUCCUAGUGAAGGCUGACAGUGCAACACUCAGGCAUCGCUGGGAUGUGCUGAGGGCUCAGCCUAGCACCGUUUACUGAGAACCACUGGCUGAGGGCCAGACUCCCUCCUGGAGCCUGAGCCUGAGCACAGAGGUCACUGAGACGUGACCCUGCCUUAGACAUGCCUGCAGUCUAGGUGGGGGGAACAAAUAUGUCAGCCUAGAACUUCAGUUGCCAUGGCGAACGCUGCACUGAAAUGAGUGCUGAAGAGACAGAUGCUUUGGCAGCCAGAGGAGGAACUGGGCAGGGAGGGCUUCCUGCUGGAGAGGGCACUUGAGCUGAGUGAAGGUUAAGGGGGCUGUUGCCCCCAGCCUUUUGAUCUGGUCAGAGUAUGUAUCGCUGUUCCACUCUGUGAACUCCUCAGUAGAGUCGAGUUUUCUGGAUCCCACAGCACCCUUGCCUUAGUUGGCUCCCUUGGUACCUUUGUGGUUUUUAAUAGUCACCUCCUCUACUGCCGGAGCGAACAUGCUGAAGAAAAAAUAAAAAUCUUGUCAGCGUUAUCGCUCAGCACACAGUGAUUCACUCCUGUCUCUCCAUACUUAGAAGCAGGACCAGCAGCGAAUGAAUAUAAACUGCAGAGAAAGGACUUAAGUAAGAUCUGAGGACCACAUUCCAGACGGGAUGUGAGGACAAGUGACUCAGGAGCAGAGGGGAAUGGCCAUCCCCGAAGGUCUUUAGUAAUGGGAGCAAGUUCCAUUUGUCUUUGUGGUUUAAGAGGUUUCAUCUGGAGACAGGAAGAUGAAGUAGAGGCCCCUCGAGAUCUGUGUCAGCUCAGCACAGGGAGGGGAAAACAAGCUGGAAUUUUUGAGCUAGAAUGUCGCUCGGAUCUGGCCUAACCCCUCAUUUUCCUGUUAAAGUGACUGAAGAAUGUCUGCCUCCUUAAGUGGGUCAUUCAUUAAUGAGCCAAGACACAAACCACAUCUGCCCACAGCUGGGUGCUGCCCUGCGUUGAUCCCUGUCAGAGGGGGUGCACUCUGGGGGCACCCCACAGCCCUACCGGGUGGAGUCCAUGCCUUGUGAAGAGGGCUGCAGGAACCCGCAAGGAGUUGGCUGUCUGGUUGCCGGCACUAGAGAAGAGCUUUAGCUCCUCCUCACAAACUGUUCUGAAAGUGGCCCAGUGGGAGCUAGCAGUCGUCUCAUUCACUCCAGCAUUCUUGCCUGGAGAAGUCCAUGGACAGAGGAGCCUGGUGGGCUGCACACUGUGGACUCGAACAGACUUGGACAUGGCUGAGUGACUGUCACUCACGCUGCUCACCCUCCUGGCCCAGCACCUAGAAGGCCCCUCGAGGGCCUUCAGUAAACCUGGUUGAAUGAAGAGUAAAUAGCAGACCACCCAAAAGUUAUUUCUCUUUUACCAAACACUUGUUGGCCAGUGCGUUUCCCUUUUCAGCUCUGUGUUGCUUAAGCCAGCAACUGAAUCAUUACACGAUGCCCGCAGCAACAGAGAGAGGCACCCAAAAGUGUGCUGGGGGCAAGCAUGACGGACAGAACAGUUUGGGAUUUUUCUCAAUGUGUCUAAUUCCUUUGAAUCCAUAUCAAGGGCGGACAUUAUGUUCAUUGAUGAUGACUUGCCUUUUUUUGUUUGUUGUAGUUUGUUGUUCCCAGCCUGAAAGUAAAAAGGCUGCAUUUUUCAAAUUUAGGAAAAGCGUGUGGUCUAGUUAUCUAGGAUGCAUUCAGCAAGAUGGCUACAGAGAUCACCAAAGAAACAAGGCUUGCUCUCAGAAGAGAAUCUGAUUAAGGAGGAGCCAAACGGGAGCCAGUGCUAGACAAUGAAUUUAGAAUACGGAGUGGUGAAGUUUACUUCCUGGGGUGAAUUUCAGUGGACUUGUGCAAAUUAAAGAAAAGCAGCAGCCGAAAACCCUAUGGCGGGUCUCUUGCUUCUUACCUAUUCAUUAAGGGAGCACUGAGUUCUAGGAGGCACCUGCACAAGGGUUUAUUUCCCGCCCCUACCUCCCGCAACCAGCACGCUAAAUCUGGAGCUCUGAUGAGAAGAUCCUCUGCGGUCAUGUAGGGUGAUCAGGCUUAGGAAAUGAUUUCACUUUGUUCAGGUCUGAGAUUAGUUUCGGUUUCAGGCUGUACCAGGAGCUGAGAGAGCGAGCCUGAGCUAGAGCGAGGGAGAGGAGGAGGAGGCUGCUGGGAGAGCCUCACCAUUGGCUGCCACGAGUGGCAAGGUGGGCGGGCAGGGAACUCCUGCGCUGAGCAGGGAGACGAGGAAGAUGAAUCAGAGAUACAGUCAGGGGAGGCAGCCAUUGAGCAUCUCUGUGUCUGUGGACCGGGCAGCAGCCUAUGACGGUAUCAGCAGCUGUGUGGAGGGCAAAAGCCGGCACAGUUACAGGGGUUCUGAGCCGGGGCUGCGAGGUCUUACGGAAGCUGUAAAACACAGACUACCUGGAUGGAGUGGGUUUUGCGUGAGCAGGUGCCAAGCUCGGAGGAAAGCUGGGUGUCAGUGUGCCACAAACCACCCCGCCCCCUUCUUAUACCCGUAUCCUUACAACUUGCGUUCUCUUGCAUUUGAGUUUCCCCUUUAAAAAAAAUAAAGACAAAUGAAGGUUUUAGAGCUGAUAGUUGAGAACCUGCAGACUUUUGCGAGUUGGCGCAUCCUUUAAGAUGCUGCCUUCAAGCUGUCGUUUCUCCUUGAGACGGUUUGCGGCCAGUCUGGUGGUUUCACAGGGCGGUCAUUAUCUCAGAAAAUCAGUGCCUUCCCUCCCCUGACUGGCUCUGGGUGCGGCAGACACAGAUGUUUCAUCCCACCCGAGCAGUGUUACAGCACCAUUGCAUUUUAUUUCUCCAAGUCAUAAAUUCAUUUUAUUGCUGAAAGAGAGAAGCAUUGAAUUUUAAAGCCAGGAAGGAUUUUGAAGAUCAUCCAGACUGCUCCUAGAGGAAUUUGUGGUCCUGGGUCAUUAAGCACCUUGAAAAAGAACUAUAGAAUGUAGUUAAAAACUCUGAGUCAGACUGCCUGUGUUUGAAUCCACCUUUGCUAGUUGCUGCUGUGUUCUUGGGGCAAGUUAAGUCAAUUUCUGAGUCUUAGUUUCCUGAACUAUUCAAUGGGAGUGAUAAUAUCCCCUGAUUGUUGCUGCUGCUAAGUCACUUUGGUCGUGUCCAACUCUGUGUGACCCCAUAGAUAGAGGCCCACCAGGCUCCCCCGUCCCUGGGAUUCUCUAGGCAAGAACACUGGAGUAGGUUGCCAUUUCCUUCUCCAAUGCAUGAAAGUGAAAAGUGAAAGUGAAGUCGCUCAGUCCUGUCCGACUCUUCGAGACCCCAUGGACUGCAGCCUACCAGGCUCCUCCAUCCAUGGGAUUUUCCAGGCAAGAGUACUGGAGUGGGGUGCCAUUGCCUUCUCUGCUAAUUGUUGCUAGUGAGGAUCAAAUACUCGUUAAGCAUUAGCACAGUGCUUGGCAAAUCAUUAAGUUCUCAAUAAAUGUUAGUUACUGCUAACAUUUGUUAUUAUCCUCAUUUCAUGAAAUCAUAUCAUCAUCAGUGGCUAAUUGCUGUUAGAGCCAGGGCUAUAGUGCUAAACUCUUUAUAAUACUAGUUUUCUCCAGCAUGGCCAUGCAGUGAUUUAAUCACAGUCUUGAAACACACAAAGAGCAUUGGUGAAAGUACUUGUGUAGAAAUCUAAUGCAUAAACAUUCAUAAAAGAGCUGGAAGAAAUGGGCUCAAUCCAUGUAUUAGAUAUAGUUAGACUGUGGGCAUGAGGGCAUGUAUUUAACAAAUAAUCUGUGUCCACAGACACCCUUUAUAGUGUUUAGAGGUUUCCUAAAUGCCAGAAUGGUUACCUCUGCUGGAAAGGUUGGGGAGUUCUUCGAUGUUUUUGUUGAACUCUCCUCAAAUUGGAAACAUCCAUUUCAAUGAGUUGUGAUGGCAAGCAGGCUUUUGGGUGUAAUGGAAAUAUUUCUGCAGCCUGGCUGCUGCUUAUCAAGGGUGAAGACAGUGCAUGCUUUUAAAAACUAUGGGCUUGGCAGAAGUCCGUCCACAGGUCUUAGGCCAGGCCAGCACAAAUGCCUUCCCAAAUGAUUUGCACUGACCUUUUUUGCAAAUUGCUGACAGCCUGGGAGCCUCCCAAGGGAGGCUGAAAUAUUGUUGAGGGGGGUGUCAUCCUUGGCCUUGAGGGGUCUUUUGACACUUUUGAUGGGGUGGCAUAAGGCUGCUUUGGUAUAUUUUCUUGGAAUAUGAAAACAAAUGGAAAUUAAUUUUGUUUGGCAAAUCCUGCAACAUUCCCUUGUGAUAUUGCCACUCUCUGGGGCUUACAGAAUUGAAAUCUGUUUUUGAUGCUGAUCCAUGGGACUUCUCAAAUUUCCGUGCCUGAGGGAGAGAGCUUGUUAGAGUGUGAAAUUUGUGAGCGUGUGAUUCAGAGUCCAAGAUGAGAGAUCCAGUCUGAGCUCUAUUGUGUGUGGACUGUCAUUCUGAGCAGAUCACUUUAUUUCUUGGUUUGUACUUUUCUUGAGUUUAAUCUGUUAUUGUACCCGCAACAACAAAUGGAUUUUGAACACAUCUGUUAACCAGAGCUGGUAAUAAGAGUCGCUAUUGCACUAGAUGGGGCUUCCCAGGUGGCGCUAGUGGGAAAGAACCCGCUUGCCAAUACAGGAGACGUAAGAGACACGGGUUCGAUCCCUGGGUUGGGAAGAUCCCCUGGAAAAGGGCAUGGCAGCCCUCUCCAGUAUUCUUGCCUGGUGAAUCCCCACGGACAGAGGAGCCUGGUGGGCUACAGUCCAUAGGGUCGCACAGAGUUGGAAUGACUGAAGCAACUUAGCAUGCAUGCAUUAGUUGGCUGUGAUGGUCUAACAAGAAUUACAGUUUGGUUACCUACUUACUGCAUGCCAGUCACCUCUCUGUGCAUUUUAAGAGGAUAUAUUUAUUUACUCAGCCCACUAUGUGUACAGUAGUAUUUACCACUUUCCAGAUGAGGGGAUGGAGACUCAGAGGGCUAAGUCAACAUGCCCAAAGGCACACAGUCAGGUAAGGAGGAACUGGGGUCUGAACCCUGAAGGCCAGGCUGCUGACUCUGUAGAUGGUGUUUCUAAGACGGCUGUGUUGCCAUUAAGUGUACAGAUCACAGUGUUGGAAAGAAUGAGGAGACGGAGCAUAUGAGAGCUUUUUUUGGAGUUAUAGGGAAACAGCUGUUUCUAAGUUUGGGACAAAGCCGAAGAGCACCGGCAGAGACAGAGAAGGACAUUUUCUCGGUGGCUUUUUGCUCUCUGCUGUGAGGGGCUGUUCUGUGGAUUUAAGGGCCAUGUGUCUCUUUGCUCUCCUAUCACAUUUUAUUGGGAAGCCUGUCUUUCCGUUCCAGCCCUCAGCUGUGACAGCUUCAGAAACUUAGAAAACUGCCAUAGAUACGGAUAGCAAAUUCUUGAGCCGUGAAAGGGAAGGUGAAGGAUGGGCUUGUUAGUGGAAAUUCUUUGUUUUUGUAUUUCUGUGAACCUCUAUGGGGGUGAGCCAUGGAGUGGCUUGUGCUCAAAGGAGAGAGAAUUGAGAACUUGGGUGACUUUCUUCUCAGGAGUUGUCUUAAUAAGAGAAUGGAUCAUCCUAGUAGCUUUCAUCUUGGAAAAGAGAGCGGGUGCGAGUGGGUGCGAUGGUAUUUGACGGAAACCAGAGGCCUUCCGUGUGUGUCGUCCCAGGGCAGAGCUGGGCCGACAUAAGGGCCUCGGUGGCUCGAGCCGAGGGUGGGGGGCCCCGGGGGCUUUGGGAAGGGCUGCUGGCUUUGUGGCCCUGCUGCCUCCAGCCCUCUCUAGCCCUGAGAGGCUCUGGGGAAGGAAUAGGCCCUAUGAGAGAAAUGGAUUGGGGGUUGGGUAUGCAUCAGUUUUCAAUGGGGCUUCCCAGGUGGCUGAAUAAUAAAGAAUCCACCUGCCAGUGUAGGAGGGUUCGAUCCCUGGGUCGGGAAGAUCCCCAGAGGAGGAGAUGGCUACCCACUCCAGUAUUCUUGCCUGGAGAAUUCCAUGGACAGAGGAGCCUGGGGGGCUACAGUCCAUGCGGUCGAAAAGAGUCAGUUGUGACUGAGUGUACACUCACGCAUUUUUAAAUGGCAAACCACUGGUGAAAUUCAUACAUAGCAGUGAUAACUUUGAGGAUAUUAAUGUAAAAAUUCAUCCCAUACAACUGGACAACACAAACAUAAUGUUUGAUCUUUAGGGAUGUGAAUGGCUACUCUGACUCCACCCCUUGAAGGGGGUGGGGCGGGGCCCUCCCUGUGUUAGUACCUGGUUCCCCUGGUACAUUUUGGGGGACCUCUUGUCUUCUUCUAGAACUAAAAAAGGAAGCUUCCAGGUCCUGGAGUCACCCUGUUUGUCUCUGAGUUUGUGAGGAAGCUGCAGGGCACAUCCUUCUCUGACCUACUCUCUGUGACCUUUCUGCGGACUCUCUUUUGGAUCAUGAGCUGAGUCUGGGGUCCCCAGAGGAAGGUGAAGUCCACUUGGGAGGGAGGGAUUGCAGGAAGACUCCCUCAGACCAGCCACCCAGUUUAGGGAUGGUAACAGGGUGGUUGUGUUUUCAGACUUCCUUUGACCUCAUGGCACAGUUUACCCAGAGUGGUUGUGUUUCUCCACAAGGCCCCACGGCCACUGUUUUGCCUCAUUUUCCUUCCUUCCCCAGCUAGCAGCAGCAGACACUUUUUUAAAAAAGGAAAUAGGUAUUUGGCUGUGUUGGGCCCUGCUUGUGGCUUGCGGGACCUUUCCUUGCAGUGCACUGACUCUCUAGUUAUGGGGCAUGGGCUCAGUUCCUCCGAGACAUGUGGAACCUUCCCGGACCAGGGAUCAAACCCACGUCCCCUGCAUUACAAGGCAGAAGUCCCAGUGCUUACUGUUCUUACACUGCUCCUGUGUAUAAGAGGAUUUACUCAUGUCAAACAUUUCACUUCAGUUAUUUAAUUUGGUCCUGUACCAAACCUAUACGCCAGGGAUUAUUGUCUUUUUAGAUGGGGGAACUGAGGCUGAGGGCUAAGUAACUUGUCCAAGUAAUAGCUACUUACUGUGUGGGAUUUUUUUUUCUUUGUUUUACAGUUUAUGAUAAAAAGUUUCAAGUACACCCAGAUUUAGAGACGCUAGUACAAUACGUUCCCAUGGACCCAUUACCAAACUUUUUCACUCUUUGUGGAGAAGCCCCCACUCUGGUGCUUCUGGGGGUGCAGCGUACAGCAGAUACCUUUGUGUGAAUUAGAAGAAAGGAGCCUUUCUCCAGGGUUCACAACUUAGUGAGCUGAGCAUAGGCGGAUUCACCCCAUCUGACCCUACGGGUGGACCCUCUGUGUAGUGAACAGCCCACAUAACUGUAUGUGAUGGCUCUGCCUGCCUCACUUCUCUUCUCAUUUAGCUUUUGACACGAAGAGUCCAGAGUGAUUUCUCUGGUUGGCCCUCAAUUAUAAGGGAUGGGGGAAGAAAGCUCAGGUGUUGGGGACUUCUGGGGCUAGAAUAAAUUAAGCAGGGGGGUAAUUCCAGAGGAGAUACUCUGGCUGCAGAGGAGGGUGAGGGUGAAUGAGCUGUGUCUUUUAUUGCUCCUGUUUUUCUGCUCUAUUUGAUGGCUCUUCCCUGAUGCCUUCUCCCUUCUGUUCUGUGCCCAGGGCAAGGGAGGCACUUGUAUGUGUCCAUGUGGCUGGCAGGGGGGCAGCUGGUAGAGCCCAGGGUAUGAAAACUUGGUGUGGACUCAGUCUUGGCUGCCGCCCUCCUGGAGUCGCUGGGACAAGCUGUCUUUGCCUUCUGGCAGCUUACCUUUUCUUGGGGUGCAGUUGAGCCAGUGGCCCAAGGGGAGGUCCUGCCUUCACGCCUGCAGAACUGCUCCUUUUAGUCCCAAAGUCCGGUCUGUGGGUCACCAGAUAGGGGCCGUCUUGAAGAGAGAAAUUGGG
ensembl:lncRNA